CCCUUAGAUGUCCGGGGCUGCACGCGCGCUACACUGAAGGAAUCAGCGUGCUAAAACCAUUGUCGAAAGGCAUUGGUAAACCCAUUAAAAUCCUACGUGAUUGGGAUCGGGAAUUGCAAUUAUUUCCCUUGAACGAGGAAUUCCCAGUAAGUGUGGGUCAUAAGCUCGCGUUGAUUACGUCCCUGCCCUUUGUACACACCGCCCGUCGCUGCCCGGGACUGAGCCGUUUCGAGAAAAGCGGGGACUGCUGCUGUCGGGGCUUUCGUGCCUUGGCUUCGGUGGAAACCGCUUUAAUCGCAGUGGCUUGAACCGGGCAAAAGUCGUAACA
rnacentral:rRNA from 1 species